AAUAAGUCGUGCUGGGUCCCAAUUUGCUCACUACCUGGAAGCAAUCCUGUCGUCUCUCCUUUUUAAACUCCACCAGGCUGCUCUCCAUUCUCUGCAGUAGGGCUGUUUCCUCGUUUUGUUCUUCAGCCCUGGUGCUUCCUGUGUGUGGAGGAACUGUGGUCAGCCAGCUUCCUGUCCCUGCCACCAUGCUUUCCCUGUCUGUUGCUCUGCCAGCUCCGUCAUGGUCGACUCCAUCCCUCUGCAACGGGUCCCACAAAGAUGUCAGUGCCCCCAGACAACAGGAAGCAGUCUAGAGAAUACAACGCCCACAUUCCCAAGAAGUUGGUGAGUGGUUUUUCUUCAGUCAAUGGGCUAUGGAUGUUUGUCAUUGUUUGGAGGGUGUUGGUUACAAAUUGUUAUUGGUCAUGGU